rnacentral:rRNA from 1 species
AACGAACGCUGGCGGCAGGCUUAACACAUGCAAGUCGAGCGCCCCGCAAGGGGAGCGGCAGACGGGUGAGUAACGCGUGGGAAUCUACCGAGCCCUACGGAAUAACGCAUGGAAACGUGUGCUAAUACCGUAUACGCCCUACGGGGGAAAGAUUUAUCGGGGUUUGAUGAGCCCGCGUUGGAUUAGCUAGUUGGUGGGGUAAAGGCCUACCAAGGCGACGAUCCAUAGCUGGUCUGAGAGGAUGAUCAGCCACAUUGGGACUGAGACACGGCCCAAACUCCUACGGGAGGCAGCAGUGGGGAAUAUUGGACAAUGGGCGCAAGCUUGAUCCAGCCAUGCCGCGUGAGUGAUGAAGGUCUUAGGAUUGUAAAGCUCUUUCACCGACGAAGAUAAUGACGGUAGUCGGAGAAGAAGCCCCGGCUAACUUCGUGCCAGCCGCCGCCGUAAUAC